rnacentral:rRNA from 1 species
ACUGGCAGGCUAGAGUCUUGUAGAGGGGGGUAGAAUUCCAGGUGUAGCGGUGAAAUGCGUAGAGAUCUGGAGGAAUACCGGUGGCGAAGGCGGCCCCCUGGACAAAGACUGACGCUCAGGUGCGAAAGCGUGGGGAGCAAACAGGAUUAGAUACCCUGGUAGUCCACGCCGUAAACGAUGUCGAUUUGGAGGUUGUGCCCUUGAGGCGUGGCUUCCGGAGCUAACGCGUUAAAUCGACCGCCUGGGGAGUACGGCCGCAAGGUUAAAACUCAAAUGAAUUGACGGGGGCCCGCACAAGCGGUGGAGCAUGUGGUUUAAUUCGAUGCAACGCGAAGAACCUUACCUGGUCUUGACAUCCACAGAACUUUCCAGAGAUGGAUUGGUGCCUUCGGGAACUGUGAGACAGGUGCU